rnacentral:rRNA from 1 species
CAAGUCGAACGGGCUCUUCGGAGCUAGUGGCGGACGGGUGAGUAAUACAUAGGUAAUCUGCCUUAAAGUGGGGGACAACCAGGCGAAAGUUUGGCUAAUACCGCAUAAUGUGGACUGUUGGAAUAUGGUUCAAGAAAGAUUUAUCGCUUAUAGAGGAGCCUAUGGUUGAUUAGCUAGUUGGUGGGGUAAAGGCCUACCAAGGCGACGAUCAAUAGCUGGUCUGAGAGGACGAUCAGCCACACUGGGACUAAGACACGGCCCAGACUUCUACGGAAGGCAGCAGUGGGGAAUUUUCCGCAAUGGGGGCAACCCUGACGGAGCGACGCCGCGUGGAGGAUGAAGUUUUUCGGAAUGUAAACUCCUUUCAGCAGGGACGAAACAAAUGACGGUACCUGCAGAAGAAGCAUCGGCUAACUACGUGCCAGCAGCCGCGGUAAUACGUAGGAUGCAAGCGUUGUUCGGAAUUACUGGGCGUAAAGAGUACGUAGGCGGUUUGGUAAGUCUGAUAUUAAGACUGGGGCUCAACUCCAGGAGUGUAUCGGAAACUGUCAGACUAGAGGACAAUAGAGGAAGUCGGAAUUCUCAGUGUAGCGGUGAAAUGCGUAGAUAUUGGGAAGAACACCAGUGGCGAAAGCGGACUUCUGGGUUGUUACUGACGCUGAGGUACGAAAGCGUGGGAGCAAACGGGAUUAGAUACCCCGGUAGUCCACGCGGUAAACGAUGGAUACUAGAUGUAGCCGGUCUCGACCCCGGCUGUGUCGCAGCUAACGCAUUAAGUAUCCCGCCUGGGGAGUAUGGCCCCAGGUUGAAACUCAAGGAAUUGACGGGGACCGCACAAGCGGUGGAGGA